rnacentral:rRNA from 1 species
CCGGUUGAUCCCGCCGGACCUGACUGCUAUCGGAUUGAUACUAAGCCAUGCGAGUCAUUGUAGUAAUACAAGGCAAACGGCUCAGUAACGCGUAGUCAACCUAACCUAUGGACGGGAAUAACCUCGGGAAACUGAGAAUAAUGCCCGAUAGAACACUAUGCCUGGAAUGGUUUGUGUUCCAAACGAUUUAUCGCCGUAGGAUGGGACUGCGGCCUAUCAGUUUGUUGGUGAGGUAAUGGCCCACCAAGACUAUUACAGGUACGGGCUCUGAGAGGAGUGGCCCGGAGAUGGGUACUGAGACACGGACCCAGGCCCUAUGGGGCGCAGCAGGCGAGAAAACUUUGCAAUGUGCGAAAGCACGACAAGGUUAAUCCGAGUGGUUUCUGCUAAAGGAACCUUUUGUCGGUCCUAGAAACACCGAUGAAUAAGGGGUGGGCAAGUUCUGGUGUCAGCCGCCGCGGUAAAACCAGCACCUCAAGUGGUCAGGAUGAUUAUUGGGCCUAAAGUAUCCGUAGCCGGCUCUGUAAGUUUUCGGUUAAAUCUGUGCGCUUAACGUACAGGCUGCCGGGAAUACUGCGGAGCUAGGUAGUGGGAGAGGUAGACGGUACUCGGUAGGAAGGGGUAAAAUCCUUUGAUCUAUUGAUGACCACCUGUGGCGAAGGCGGUCUACCAGAACACGUACGACGGUGAG